GACGAACGCUGGCGGCGUGCUUAACACAUGCAAGUCGAACGGAAAGGCCCUGCUUUUGUGGGGUGCUCGAGUGGCGAACGGGUGAGUAACACGUGAGUAACCUGCCCUUGACUUUGGGAUAACUUCAGGAAACUGGGGCUAAUACCGGAUAGGAGCUCCUGCUGCAUGGUGGGGGUUGGAAAGUUUCGGCGGUUGGGGAAGGACUCGCGGCUUAUCAGCUUGUUGGUGGGGUAGUGGCUUACCAAGGCUUUGACGGGUAGCCGGCCUGAGAGGGUGACCGGCCACAUUGGGACUGAGAUACGGCCCAGACUCCUACGGGAGGCAGCAGUGGGGAAUAUUGCACAAUGGGCGGAAGCCCGAUGCAGCAACGCCGCGUGCGGGAUGACGGCCUUCGGGUUGUAAACCGCUUUCGCCUGUGACGAAGCGUGAGUGACGGUAAUGGGUAAAGAAGCACCGGCUAACUACGUG
rnacentral:rRNA from 1 species